UACAGAGGGGGCUAGCGUUAUUCGGAAUUAUUGGGCGUAAAGGGCGCGUAGGCGGCCCUUCUGGUCGCGUGUGAAAGCCCCGGGCUCAACCUGGGAAUGGCGCGCGAAACGGGGGGGCUUGAGUUCGGGAGAGGAGCGUGGAAUUCCCAGUGUAGAGGUGAAAUUCGUAGAUAUUGGGAAGAACACCGGUGGCGAAGGCGGCAUCCUGGACCAACACUGACACUGAGGAGCGAAAGCCAGGGGAGCAAAGCGGG
rnacentral:rRNA from 1 species